AAGGGCCUAUGAACAAAAGUGCACCCUCUUUACCAAUCGGUUAAGGGUCUUGGGAUAUUUGGAGUUAAGCAUCUUUGGGUUUGAAUAGUACUAGGCUGGGUGACCUCCCGGGAAGUCCAAACUUAGGAGCUUA
rfam:Selaginella moellendorffii unplaced genomic scaffold SELMOscaffold_9, whole genome shotgun sequence.